ACGGAGCUUACUAACGCCAAUGCAAAUGCUCUAAGUCCCCUUUUACUAACUAGACCACUCAGCCAAACUAGUUUUUUUUUUCCAUUCAAUCUUAAUAAUGAUUCAAUAAAAAACAUAAACUCUCAUCCAUCGAUUCCAGAAACAGAGAUAUUAGAAAAAAAACCUAGAUGACCCUAGUUCUUUUUAUGGUUUCGCCGUUCCAAUUUAGAAGAGAUUUUAAGGACCUAUCUUCUUUCUUUCUACUCAUCGAUCAUUAAACAAAGGACGCUUCACAGUCUCUUUGGUGUUGUUUUUCCUGGUACCUUCUUGCUUUAUUUCUCCUCUUUUUUCUUAGUCACAUUUUGUUUAGGUUUCUGCUCUUUUCUGAAAUUUGAUCUUCUUACUGUUGAAAAAUCUCUCAAAUCCGAUGUGUUUCCGCCUGAUUUUUAGGUAAUGAUACUCAGAUCUUACCAAUUUUUAGAGUUUCAAUAAUUUUAAUGCUUGACCGGCUUUUGUUAUAGUUUUGGUUUAAAUAGACUUCUUAUUUUUGGUUUGAGGUUUGGAAGUGUACGGCAGUUUGAAUCUAUUUUUUUUUGGAGCUGAUUUAAUUUAGGUUUUAUUGAUGGAUCCCUUGAUUUGAGUUUUUUGGUAUAAGCGUGUGCUUGUAUAUACGGUAUCUGAUGAUUGCGUGGAUGCGAUUGUGUGGAUGUAUUCUUGUGGAUACUUUUUUCGUUCGAGUAAAUGUUGUGUUUAGAGGACUAUGAAUGUCUAGCUAUAUUGACGUAUUGUGGAUGUUGUGGAUGAUUGACGAACACAUUAUACUAUAGAAAAAUGUAUCUAAGUAUAAUGUUCAUUUAUUCAUGGAUUCAUUGAUUUUCUUGGUUGUAUGACUUUUAUUUGACAAAUGUUUUCAUACCCAAUUCAUGUGAAAUGUCUUAGAAAUGUAGUACUCCAUGUAUUAUAAACAAAAUCAUGGUUAAAAGUGUUAUGAAUAAAAAUAGAAAGUAGCAUACACAUGUUAAGUUAUGAAUGUGGUAUGUUGUGUUUAUGUGGAUGUGAUAUUUAUGGAUGCAUUGUCAUGGAUGUGGUCAUGUGGAUGCCUUCACGUGGUUAUAUGUAAGGUGACGGG
rnacentral:lncRNA from 1 species